AAUUGGAGGGCAAGUCUGGUGCCAGCAGCCGCGGUAAUUCCAGCUCCAAUAGCGUAUAUUAAAGUUGUUGCAGUUAAAAAGCUCGUAGUUGAAUUUCGGGAUUGACACAUCGGUCGUGCCUUAAGGGGUAUGAACUGGUGUAGUCAAUUUCUCACCUUCUGGAGAACCGCGAUGCCCUUAAUUGGGUGUCACGGGGAACCAGGACCUUUACUUUGAAAAAAUUAGAGUGUUUAAAGCAGGCAUUUUGCUUGAAUACAUUAGCAUGGAAUAAUAAAAUAGGACGGCAUGAUUCUAUUUUGUUGGUUUCUAGGAUCACCGUAAUGAUUAAUAGGGAUAGUUGGGGGCAUUAGUAUUCAAUUGUCAGAGGUGAAAUUCUUGGAUUUAUUGAAGACUAACUACUGCGAAAGCAUUUGCCAAGGAUGUUUUCAUUAAUCAAGAACGGAAGUUAGGGGAUCGAAGACGAUCAGAUACCGUCGUAGUCUUAACCAUAAACUAUGCCGACUAGGAAUCAGACGAUGUUAAUUUUUUAAUGACUCGUUUGGCACCUUACGGGAAACCAAAGUGU
rnacentral:rRNA from 1 species